CGGGGUGUAGCGCAGUUGGUAGCGCGCGAAGUUUGGGACUUCGAUGUCGCGUGUUCGAAUCACGUCACUCCGACCA
rnacentral:tRNA from 1 species